rnacentral:rRNA from 1 species
CGGCGCAGACUGGCGCCAAGGGAGCUAUUGAAGAACACGGGCCCGGCAUCGGGUCAUCGUGGGGUGGAGCGGUGCAGCGCACCGCACGUACUGACACGACUCUCGACAAUGGAUAUCUCGGCUCUCGCAUCGAUGAAGAGCGCAGCGAAAUGCGAUACGUGGUGCGAAUUGCAGAAUCCCGCGAACCAUCGAGUCUUUGAACGCAAGUUGCGCCCGAGGCCAAUCGGUCGAGGGCACGUCCGCCUGGGCGUCAAGCGUUGCGCCGCUCCGUGCCGAGUCCCCACCAACCCGCCGCGGUGGGGGUGCCGGGCGAGGCUCGGAUGUGCAGAGUGGCUCGUCGUGCCCGUCGGUGCGGCGGGCUGAAGAUCGGGUUAUCGUCUCAUUGGCCACGAACAACGAGGGGUGGAUGAAAGCUGCCGCGGGCGAGGCCCGCGUUGUCUCGUGCCGGCCCGAGAGAAGAUCACACCCUUCGUGCGAUCCCAUCCCACGCGCCGCCACCCGUGCGGCGGCUUGGAAUGCGACCCCAGGACGGGCGAGACCACCCGCCGAGUUUAAGCAUAUCAAUAAGCGGAGGAGAAGAAACUUACGAGGAUUCCCCUAGUAACGGCGAGCGAACCGGGACAUGCCCAGCAUGGGAAUCGGGCCGCCCUGCGGCGGCUC